UCUUGAGUCAAUGUUAUAAAUACAGUAGGCUGGAUUAAAGGAGCUUAUUCUCUCACAGACUAUCAUGAGGGCCUGAUGAGUUUUCUAUCCAAAGUGGGCCCACCACCUAGCUUGGUCCAGGUUCUGAUUUCAUAGACUUCCAGCCUCAGAUAAGUUUGUACACUAUGGAGUGGUAGACACUGACAGGCAUAGAGCAGGUUAGGUCAGAAAAGUGCCAAGAAAUUUGGAGCCAAGCUAAAGGGAUUUGUGAAGGAACAUUGUUUGAUAACAAUAUUAAAGAACCAGUUUCAAAGUCAACAUGAUCAGGGUCCAAAUCAAUAUUCAAAUACCUUGCUGGAUGAGUUAUCACCUUUUUCUGUGUAGGCUAGGUUGUCUUCUAACUGGCCAUUCAGUCAAGGACCACCUUGGACUGCUAAUCCUCUUGCUUAUAUAAUCCUGGUGCUGAGGUCACAGUUGAAAUUGUGUGAUGCUAGGGUUAUAACACAGGGCCUCCUUCAGGUCAGGCAGAUGUUGUACCUAGUGAAGGAGAAGAUCUGCUCCCAGGAGCCUUUCUUCACCUCAGGCAUUUCAUUUGUACUUCAGAUAUCUUACAAAUUAAAGAGAUGGGGUUUGAGCUUUACUUAGUGACACUGCAUCUGCUUAGCAAAACUAAGGCUCUCAGUUCAUUCCACAGGACUGGAAACAAAAGGUUUCAGAUGAAGAAAGUGACACAUCAUGAUUGCAUUUGAAUCCAAACUCAUAAACUUCUUAAGUGCUGGAACAAAUAUGAAAAUCAGGUCUCUCAGAAUAUUAAGUGGAUGGUGGAUACCCUUCAACUGUAUGUGAUGAGCUGCUAUUCAUUGUCUUGCAACAACAAAGAAAAGAAACAGAGAACUGAGCUGCACUUUCAAAACAGGCAAGGUAAUUGAAAAAGCAGAUAAAAAGUCGAAAGUAAUAACAAAAGAAGCCUGUCUGCAUAUUGAGAUGUAAUCCACCUCGCCUGAUCAAUUAUUCUUGAAAUAAAAGAAUACUAAAAGUGAUUAGAUGGUUCUUUUCUAUUGUGUUUAAUUAUUUCUGUUCUGAAGAUCCCAGUCCAAAGACCUCUCUCCUUUCCAAAGGAUAAGGUUGUGAAUGUGCUCCCAUGGACAUCCGUUCAGUAUUCUGAGGCUGGAGAUUUCUUUUACCCAGGUCCUCAAUGUCUCUCCUUUUAUAUUCAUGUUUAUUUCAUCCUACUAGACUACAAAGGUGAGGGAAAACAAUAAUGGCGAUGAAUACCUGUAGCAAUCACACCUUGGUUGUUCUGAACAUCCUGUGUCAAGCAGUCAAGAGGAUGAUGGGCCAAUACCUUAACUCUGACUUUUCCUCACAGAAGAACUUGAUUCAUAAAACUCAGAGUUCAUGUAACGAGGACAUAUAGCCAUCAGAGACAACUGUAUAAAUCACAGCUUUGUGUACGGUGUCAGCAGUCCCAGCAAAUGCAAGAGCAGCUAGUCAACAAAGAGCUUGAAUAGUACAAAAUGGGGAACUUUGAUAAAUCUGUUGUGUUUUUGAGAACCUCAAGAGUUGUGUAUAGAUAUAUGUGCAUAAUCUGCAAUGAUUUUGGAAGUCUAUAGUAUUUCACCCAGCUUUUCAAAGAUCAGAUACAACAGCUAAAAUAUCAAGGCCCAUACUUGGCUUAGAGAGGGUUUCUGAGGAAGGGGUGUUUGGGAGCUGGGGAAAAAGAACUCGAAGUCAAAUGAUGGGAUAAGCUGACAGCUUUAUAGUCUGCUCAAGAUGGCUCCCUAGACAGCUCUCUGUAGAUGCCUUUUGGUUCUGUAGUCUCCUCAAGAUAGCUUUCUGCUGAAGACAGCUCUCUCUGCUUGAGGUAACUCUCUCUUGCUAGAAAAAUACCUUGGAUUUUCUGUCCAAAGUCAGAAAAGCUGCUAGAAAAAAAAUUCUAAAAGAACUGUGAUUGCUUUCCAAGAACUUCUCUCUAGGUAGCUUUCUCUCUCUCUCUCUCUCUCUCUCUCUCUCUCUCUAUAAUUUAAGUAUUAGUUGUGUCAUCUUGGUGAGGGAAUUGAUCAAUUUCAGCCUUAAUUCCUUCCAGAUUGAAACCAAGCUGAGGAAGAUUAUGCUAUCUCAUCACAGAUUGCUGUUUUCAAUUUCAACAACAAUACACAACAGUUUGAUUCUCUUUCUUCAAUUUAGGAAGACGGAGAAAGUCAUUAUGCUAACAUUGGAAAACUUUAGAAACAAAUCACAACGAUGAUAAGUAUAUGCAAUUUUCAUAGGCAUCCUUCCGAAUGCAAAGCACAGAAGAAAAAGAUCAGAAGUCACCCAAGAAACACUGAUGCUGCCAAGAUGUAGGCAGAAUGCAAGCAGAAUGGCUGUGUGAGGCUGAGAAGACAAAUAAGAUUAACUCAGCAAGGUUGGGAUAAAUAGUUCACAAACAGCAAAAAGCCUGAUCAAACAAGAUCAAGAGCAGGUGGCUCAUUCUAAAGGUCCAAAGGAAUGUGAUUUUACGUUCUAUGAUGGCUAUGGCGUUUAUCCUCCACCCUCUCUAUUCUUGGACAGUCUCCUCAUAGAAGCACAAAGACGAUGUUUGUCUGCCACCCUCUCAGGUUCAGACCUCUCUAUGCAGUCUUGGCUGUCCUGGAAAUUAUGGAGUAGAAAUGGCAGGCCUCAAACUCACAGACAUUCUCCUCCUGCAGUCUCCUGAUUCUUGGCAUUAAAAGCCUGAGAUUAAAAUCAUUCCUGAACAAGUGGUUUUUUUUUUUUUAAU
rnacentral:lncRNA from 1 species